rnacentral:rRNA from 1 species
GGAUUAGAUACCCUGGUAGUCCACGCCGUAAACGAUGAGUACUAGUUAUUAGAGGUUUGACCCCUUUAGUGAAGUAGCUAACGCAUUAAGUACUCCGCCUGGGAAUUACGGUCGCAAGACUAAAACUCAAAGGAAUUGACGGGGGCCCGCACAAGCGGUGGAUUAUGUGGUUUAAUUCGAAGCAACGCGCAGAACCUUACCUAGGCUUGAAAUCUUCGGAAUCCGGCGUAAUUGCUGGAGUGCCCGCAAGGGAAUCGAAUGACAGGUGCUGCAUGGCUGUCGUCAGCUCGUGCCG